UACGUAGGGUGCAAGCGUUAAUCGGAAUUACCUGGGCGUAAAGCGUGCGCAGGCGGUUUUGUAAGUCUGUCGUGAAAUCCCCGGGACUCAACCUGGGAAUUGCGAUGGAGACUGCAAGGCUAGAAUCUGGCAGAGGGGGGUAGAAUUCCGACGUGUAGCAGUGAAAUGCGUAGAGAUGUGGAGGAACACCGAUGGCGAAGGCAGCCCCCUGGGUCAAGAUUGACGCUCAUGCAC
rnacentral:rRNA from 1 species